AGCGAACGUUUGCGGCGGGCUUAACACAUGCAAGUCGAACGGGCUGUUCCUUCGGGGGCAGUCAGUGGCGCACGGGUGCGUAACACGUAGGUAAUCAACCCUCUGGUCGGGGAUAACACUUCGAAAGGAGUGCUAAUACCCGGUAUGGCGCAGCGGUCUUCGGAUCGCGGCGAGAAAGACCCGCAAGGGUUGCCAGAGGACGAGCCUGCGGCCCAUCAGCUAGUUGGCGAGGUAACGGCUCACCAAGGCGAAGACGGGUAGCUGGUCUGAGAGGAUGAUCAGCCACACUGGAACUGAGACACGGUCCAGACUCCUACGGGAGGCAGCAGUGGGGAAUAUUGCGCAAUGGGCGAAAGCCUGACGCAGCCACGCCGCGUGAGCGAUGAAGGCCUGGUCGUAAG
rnacentral:rRNA from 1 species